UAAUGUCAAUACAGCAGCAAAAAUAGAUCUAUUCUUAAUGACAAUUAUGGUGUUCCAGUCCCCCACAUGUCUGAGGUUCACGUACAUGAGGCACAUGGCCACAAAACAACAACCUCACUUGAGCACGGGGAGGAAAGGGAGGCCGAGGAGCAUAAAGUCUUCCAUAAGUCUGAGGGACACACACACGAGACUCAUGGCCACAAAACAACCUCACCUGAGCACGGGGAGAAAAGGCACGAGGAGGAGGAGCAUAAAGUCUCCCACAAGUCUGAGGGACACGUACAUGAGACUCACGGCCACAAAACGUCAUCUGAGAACGGGCAGGAGAGGGAGGAGGAGAAAGAAAGAAAAGUCGAGCACACAGUUUCCCACACAUCUGAGGGACAUGGACAUGAGAUUCAUGGCCACAGAGCAGCAGCCUCAUCUGGUCACGGGCAAAAAAGGGAGGAGGAGGAGGAGAAUAGAGUCUCCCAUAAGUCUGAGGGACAUGGACAUGAGACUCAUGGCCAAAAAAAAACAACCUCUUCUGGGCAUGGGGAGGAGGAGCAUAAAGUCUCCCAUCAUUUUGAUGGACAUGGGCAUGGACAUGAGACUCAUGGUCACAAACCAACAGCCUCAUCUGGGCACGGGGAGGAACAUAAAGUAUCCCAUAAUUUUGAUGGACAUGGACAUGGACAUGAGACUCAUGGUCAUAAACCAACAACCUCAUCUGGGCACAGGGAGGAGCAUAAAGUAUCCCAUAAUUUUGAUGGACAUGGACAUGGACAUGGACAUGAGACUCAUGGUCACAAACCAACAUCUGGGCACGGGGAGGAGCAUAAAGUCUCCCAUAAUUUUGAUGGACAUGGACAUGGACAUGGACAUGAGACUCAUGGUCACAAACCAACAUCAGGGCACGGGGAAGAGCAUAAAGCAGUCCCUCAUAUGUCUGAGGGACACAUGCAUGAGGCUCAUGGCCACAAAACUUCAUCUGAGCACGGAGUGAAAAGGGAGGAGGUGGAAGAGAAAGCUGAGAGAAAAGUCUCCCAUAAUUUUGAGGGACACGUACAUGAGACUCAUGGCCGCAAAACAGCAACCUCAUCUGAGCACGGGGAGGAAAGGGAGAAGGAUGAGCAUAGAGAAAGACAAGCUGAAAAUAAAGUCUCCCACAAGUCUGAGGGGCACGGACACGAGACUCAUGGCCACCACACAACAAUUUCAUUAGAGCACGGGGAGAACACACACCUACCUAUACACACAGUUUCCCACAAGUCUGAGGGACAUGGACAUGAGAGUCAUGGCCACAAAAGCUUAUCUGAGCACGGGGAGAGAAGGGUGGAAGAGGAACAUAAAGUCUCCCACAAGUCUGAGGGACAUGGACAUGAGAGUCAUGGUCACAAACCAACAGCCUCAUCUGGGCACGGGGAAGAGGAGCAUAAAGUCUCCCACAAGUCUGAGGGACAUGGACAUGAGAGUCAUGGUCACAAACCAACAGCCUCAUCUGGGCACGGGGAGGAGCAUAAAGUAUCCCAUCAUUUUGAUGGACAUGGACAUGGACAUGGACAUGAGACUCAUGGUCACAAACCAACAACCUCAUCUGGGCACGGGGUGGAGCAUAAAGUCUCCCAUAAUUUUGAUGGACAUGGACAUGGACAUGGACAUGAGACCCAUGGCCACAGAACAACAACCUCAUCUGGCCACGGGGAGGAGGAGCAUAAAGUCUCCCACAAGUCUGAGGGACACGUACAAGAGACUCACAGCCACAAACCAACAACCUCAUCUGGGCACGGGCAUGGGCAUGAGGGAGAGCAUAAAGAAGAAAAAGCUGAAAGGAAAGGUAUCUUGGCAAUGUCCUUGUAGAUGGUGAAGUUUACUAUGCAGUGCUAAACUUUUACAGCAAGCUGAGCUUAUAGCCAAAAAAUGGGAUCCUAGAAACUGAAAUAAACAGAAAUGUCUCAGUGACAUGACUGCCUUUGGAUCAAUUGAAGCUUAAGAAUGAACCUCACAAGAUAUUUUUUGCUUAUGUUCAUGAUAAUUGUGGUGUUUCAGUCUCCCA
rnacentral:lncRNA from 15 species